rnacentral:tRNA from 1 species
GGAUGUAGUUCAGUGGUAGAGUGCUUGCCUAACAGGCAAUGAGGCCCUGGGUUCAAUACUGAGUGCCA